CGCCUUUUGAAAUAUAAACAUAAAAGGUCCUGCCUGCCCAAUGACUUGUUUUAAUGGCCGCGGUAUAAUGACCGUGCAAAGGUAGCGUAAUCAUUUGUCUCCUAAAUAGAGACCAGUAUGAAUGGCAAGACGAAAGCCUCACUGUCUCUCUAACCCAGUCAAUGAAAUUGAUCUUCCCGUGCAGAAGCGGGAAUAAAAGUAUAAGACGAGAAGACCCUGUGGAGCUUUAAACUUAAGUUUUAGGUUGGGGCGACCAUGAGGUAUAAUGUAACCCUCACGACAACAAAUAGAAGGACACUUCAAAUAUUGACCCAAUUAUUGAUCAACGAACCAAGUUACCCCAGGGAUAACAGCGCAAUCCGCUCAAAGAGUCCAUAUCGACGAGCAGGUUUACGACCUCGAUGUUGGAUCAGGACCCCCCAAUAACGCAACAGUUAUUAAAGGUUCGUUUGUUCAACGAUUAAAGUCCU
rnacentral:rRNA from 1 species